GAGCGGAGAUAUAUGGAGCUUGCUUUAUAUAACUUAGCAGCGAACGGGUGAGUAACACGUAGAUAAUCUAUCCUAUACUGGGGGAUAGCCCGAUGAAAGUUGGAUUAAUACCGCAUAUAGCUAUAUAGUUGCAUGAUUAUGUAGUGAAAGAUUUAUUGGUAUAGGAGGAGUCUGCGGCACAUUAGCUAGUAGGUGAGGUAAAGGCUUACCUAGGCGACGAUGUGUAGCCGGUCUGAGAGGAUGAACGGCCACAAUGGAACUGAGACACGGUCCAUACUCCUACGGGAGGCAGCAGUGGGGAAUAUUGCACAAUGGGGGAAACCCUGAUGCAGCAACGCCGCGUGAGUGAAGAAGGUUUUCGGAUUGUAAAGCUCUGUUAGCAGGGAAGAGGAAGGACGGUACCUGCAGAGGAAGCCACGGCUAACUACGUGCCAGCAGCCGCGGUAAUACGUAGGUGGCAAGCGUUGUUCGGAAUAACUGGGCGUAAAGGAUGCGUAGGCGGUUAAACAAGUUAUAUGUUAAAUAUAUAGGCUUAACCUGUAGAAAGCAUAUAAAACUGUUUAACUAGAGUGCAGGAGAGGUAAGUGGAAUUCCUAGUGUAGCGGUGAAAUGCGUAGAGAUUAGGAAGAACACCAGUGGCGAAGGCGACUUACUGGACUGUAACUGACGCUGAGGCAUGAGAGCAUGGGGAGCAAACAGGAUUAGAUACCCUGGUAGUCCAUGCUGUAAACGAUGGGUACUAGGUGUGGGUUGUGAAUAACAAUUCGUGCC
rnacentral:rRNA from 1 species